rnacentral:rRNA from 1 species
UGGGGAAUAUUGGACAAUGGGCGCAAGCCUGAUCCAGCCAUGCCGCGUGAGUGAUGAAGGCCCUAGGGUUGUAAAGCUCUUUUGUCCGGGACGAUAAUGACGGUACCGGAAGAAUAAGCCCCGGCUACUUCGUGCCAGCAGCCGCGGUAAUACGUAGGGCGCAAGCGUUGUCCGGAUUUAUUGGGCGUAAAGAGCUCGUAGGCGGCCUGUCGCGUCUGCUGUGAAAGUCCGGGGCUUAACUCCGGGUGUGCAGUGGAUACGGGCAGGCUUGAGGUAGGUAGGGGAGACUGGAAUUCCUGGUGUAGCGGUGAAAUGCGCAGAUAUCAGGAGGAACACCGGUGGCGAAGGCGGGUCUCUGGGCCUUACCUGACGCUGAGGAGCGAAAGCGUGGGGAGCGAACAGGAUUAGAUACC